AGCCAAGCUUGAGAGAGGACCUUGACAGAUCCACUUGGACGCUAUGUCCACCUGGUGGACAAGCCUCUGCUUUCUGCGCUCUAGCACUGUGGAGUCCAUCUGUCUCUUAAGUCACCGUUUUUGGAGACAUGAGGGAGACAAGAGGUGAUGAGAGCAGGGCUGUGCAGCAGCAUAGGCAACAUACUGUGAGACAAGUCAUGGCCUUGGGUAGUAUUUGGGUUGAGGAGCCAUUGUGGUGGGACUGAGGGCAUAUGAAUACUGCAGACGUUGUUCCUGCAUGACCUUCCCUAUGAUGUCAGAGUGGGAGGGAAGGAGGCAAUGCCUCAUACCAUGCAACCAAUCAUCUGCGGUAGGAUGGUCUCUAUCCACAGUAGUACUAUGACUGGCUGGUGAGUAAGAUCACAUCCAAAGCUCUGCCAUUUGGUGUGGUGACUUUAAUUACACACACCUGCAGCCAAUGUUCUGCACAGACCUUUCCCUGGAACGGAAGGGGGCUCUGAAACUGAGUGUGUGCUCUCUGACCCUGCCCCACUUCCCUUUCAGUUCUUCCUCUGGUGUGGCCACCACAGCAGAUACAUGAGAUGGUGGGUGGAAGGUGAACUGACAGCAGAACCCAGCCCAGGGCAUUUUCCACUGGGAAAUGGGCUCCACCUCAUCCUGGUCCCCUGCCUCCCAGCAAUUUUCCACAUCAGAGGUUUGAGACCGAAGAACUGAAAUCUGCGGAGAGCCUUUGUUCUGUCUUUUAUCUUGUGAAUUGUUGGUCCGGCUCACAAAGGUGUUUUGAAGUCUUUUAAACAGCUAAUUGACAUAUAAAUGGUUUUCUUGAAACAUAGAACCUGUCAAGCACUUGGUUCUUCAGAACGAAGGAUAGAUUUGAACUGACUUCCGAUGUGCCAGGGUCUCCGCACUCUACGAGGACGCUCUCCAGCAUGAAUCAGACUGCUCUCAGAGAAGAUAUCUUUUAAAUCCCAAUUGCCUAAAAAGCUUCAUUUUGUAUUUUAAGCCCCUCCUUGAAUACAAGCAUUCCUUGGGGACACUGCCAGGAGCCUGGACUGCAUUCAUCCUUUGAUUUCCUUAAACCUUUGUGUAUUUACGCUUAAUAACCGACAUUAGUGACAUUAAAAUUCUACUCACUGCAAGCAGCAAAUAAUCCAUUCUUGCCUCCUUUUUUCUUUGAUAACUGACCUUUAAUAUAGAUCCAAGCUUAAACUCUCCAAACAGUCAUUUGCACACUCUCGCAGUAACAUUCAUCACUAUUUUCAGAUAAUUGCCUGGACACAUCAGUCAGGAGCUGGAUCCCAUAUGAAAGAAAUGCAGAGAUCCAGAGUGAAAGAUUAGAGCUUGAAUAAUUUUUAAGGGAAUAUCAACUAAGGACAAACAUUCCCUUGAUAUUGCGUGGAGGUCGGUCUUUAGAAUAGAUGGAUAUGAUUAAAGGCACACAACUAUUAGGCCUUUGCUGAUAACUUAUCAAUCUUUAUUUUGGGUCAACAAUAGUACUUCUUUUCCACAUCAUCUUGAUCAUGUGAAUAUUCACCUUCAUUUUAAAUCCUGCCCAGUAUUAUGACUUCCUUUCCUGAGGCUGCUCCUUUUAUGCUAAUUUCCCCCUCUCUCUGAUGUUGCUUUCCAGAUUAUGGAUCACUUAGAGGACAUCAAAAUAUAUUGAUGUCAUUGAGACUGGAGAAGUGUUGAACCAUUCAGUGGAAUACAUGAAGUA
rnacentral:lncRNA from 1 species